GACGAACGCUGGCGGCGUGCUUAACACAUGCAAGUCGAACGGUGAAGCGCCUUCCUUUUUGGUGGGUGUGGAUGAGUGGCGAACGGGUGAGUAACACGAGAGUAACCUGCCCCCUUCUUCUGGAUAACCGCAUGAAAGUGUGGCUAGUACGGGAUAUUCUGGGUCUGUCGCAUGAUGGGUCUGGGAAAGUGAUUGUUUCGGUGGGGGAUGGGCUCGCGGCCUAUCAGCUUGUUGGUGGGGUGAUGGCCUACCAAGGCGGCGACGGGUAGCCGGCCUGAGAGGGCGGACGGUCACUCUGGGGCUGAGGCGCAGCCCAGACCCCUGCGAGAGGCCGCAGUGUGCCUUGUCGCACGAGUGGCGCAAGCCUCAGGACGAGCCGCCGCGUGAGGGAUGGAGGCCUUCGGGUUGUUAACCUCUUUCGCCAGUGAAGCAGCCCUGCCUCGUUUGUGGGUGGGUUUCCCGUAGCUGGAUAAGAAGCGCCGGCUAACUACGUGC
rnacentral:rRNA from 1 species